GUCCCCGGCGUCCGGGCGCCCUGCAUGGAUCCCCCACCCCAGCUCCUGCUCCCCGGCGGCGGCCGGUGGGCAGAAAGACCGAAACCCACUCACGGCCGCCUGCCGAAUCGCGGCUCUGCUGUUUGUGGGGCGUGCUAGAAACGUGGUCCUAAAAAGAAUGGCGUCCAUUUACAUAAUGCUUUGUUUGCGUUUCGCAAGUUUCUUUCGGUUAAAGCCACAGAAACCCCACCUCCUGCCCUUGUGUCGUUUCCACCGCGGCACCCUUUUCCGACAUUAGAAACAAUAGUGUACGCCUGUGGAGGCCUCGUUUGUUCAGGGGCUGCCGGCCAGGGCUUCAGGACGUUUCUGCGGCUUUCCCCGCGCGGCCUGGGCUCCCGCGGCUGCUUUUCGGGCCCAUGGGCGCAGCCACUGCGCCAGGCUCAAGGGGGGCGGCCCCGUCAGGGCCCGCCAUCUUGGAAGGCCUUUUUUGCCGGUUCUUCCCGCUGAGGAAGUGUCGCUCAAGACGCUGGCCUAUGAGUUGUGAUUUCUGCCUUUUCCCCUUCCUCCUUGGGCUAAGCCAGACCAGAAAGGGCCCCGUGCGCAACGUGCUUCACAAUCUCUCAGGGAAAGCGGCUAACGUGGCGCUACUCCGCCUCCCCUGUUCCUUACCCUUGGGGCGGCCGCCAUGUUUCCUGAACACAAAAUGGCGACACGUGGUUAGCAUUCGUCGCCAACGAGAAAUUGGGGUCGGCCCGAAAGCUCUAGAAUGCACCCCUCUUCCUCCCCGGGGCCUUCCACCUCCGCGAGUUUUAUGACUUAAAAAAGCCCACAGGCUGGUCUGAAGGUCGGAGGCCUAAUUUUAACGCGUUUUCCUCCCUUUAAUUUGAAACGGGAACGCGAAUGACUGUAAAAUGUGGGCACAAUAUUUAAUCUCUCGCCUUUUUAAAGCUUAAUAGUGGAUAAUAGGGGGGCAGUAUCAAGGGAUAAUUUGGGUCCCCACAGUACCAAAGCAUUUAGAAACCUCUGUUUAAUUUAAGGAAUGAGAUAAGUUACUGCUUUUCUAGACUUCCUAGCAUGGGCUGUUGUGCUGGAGAGAACGAGAGCUACGAAGAGACUACAGUGCCUCUGACUUUUUCAUAGGACAGUUGGCCGAGGAAGACAAACAUAAAGAUGAAGUGCUUAAUUCAAGGUCACACAAUGUCGGGGAUGGACCUCCAGAUUUCCUUACUGACCUGCAUUAUCUUGUGGAUACCUGAGUGAAUUCCACACCACCCAUUUUAUAGAUGAAACCACUGAGACAUGGAGCAAUUGACUGAGUAGUCACUGCCCCACCCCUGCCUGGAGCCUCACACAUGACUCGCCUCCUCUCAGUGACCACAGGAAAACAAGCUCAGGGCUCCCACUGAUUGUACAUUAUGAGACGGAGUCUUGCUAUGUUGCCCAGGCUGGUCUUGAACUCCUCACCUCAAGCGAUCCUCCCGUCUUGGCCUCCCAAGUGUCAGGAUUACGGGCAUGUGCUAUCACACCCAACCUGAUACAUUGCCUUUAUAAAUUUUUUUUUCUUUAUUCUAAAAACCAGAAAAAACAAAACUGGAUACAUGUGCAGAACAUGCAGGUUUGUUACAUAGCUGUACGUGUGCCAUGGUGGUUUGCUGCACCUAUUGACCUAUCCUACCAAGUGUGUUGGGGACUUGAGAUGCGUACAUGAGUGUGAUGUUUCCUGCUGAAAGCACAGGUGAGACGUGGUCUUGUAACACAGUGGUUAAGAAUGUGACUUUGGAGCCAGCCUGCUAGGGGCUGAAUUCUGACUCAGCCAUUUACUAACUGUGUGACCUUAGUCUGUCUAGUGACUGGUGUUGUCAUAAGAAGAGAGGGACACAGAGGGAAGAUGGCCACAUGAAGAUGGAGGCAGAGAUUGCAGUUAUGCUGCUGCAAACUAAGGAAUGGCUCUGGCCCUCCAAGGAUUGCUGAUAACCACCAGAAACUAGAAGAGACAAGGAAGGAUUCUUCCCUAGAGCCUUCAGAGGGAGCAUGGCCCUACUGACACCUGGAUUUCAAACUUGUAGCUUCCUAAACUGCAAGAGAAUAAAUUUCUGUUGUUUUAAGCCA
rnacentral:lncRNA from 1 species